UAGAGUUUGAUCCUGGCUCAGAUUGAACGCUGGCGGCAGGCCUAACACAUGCAAGUCGAGCGGAUGAAAGGAGCUUGCUCCUGGAUUCAGCGGCGGACGGGUGAGUAAUGCCUAGGAAUCUGCCUGGUAGUGGGGGACAACGUUUCGAAAGGAACGCUAAUACCGCAUACGUCCUACGGGAGAAAGCAGGGGACCUUCGGGCCUUGCGCUAUCAGAUGAGCCUAGGUCGGAUUAGCUAGUUGGUGAGGUAAUGGCUCACCAAGGCGACGAUCCGUAACUGGUCUGAGAGGAUGAUCAGUCACACUGGAACUGAGACACGGUCCAGACUCCUACGGGAGGCAGCAGUGGGGAAUAUUGGACAAUGGGCGAAAGCCUGAUCCAGCCAUGCCGCGUGUGUGAAGAAGGUCUUCGGAUUGUAAAGCACUUUAAGUUGGGAGGAAGGGUUGUAGAUUAAUACUCUGCAAUUUUGACGUUACCGACAGAAUAAGCACCGGCUAACUCUGUGCCAGCAGCCGCGGUAAUACAGAGGGUGCAAGCGUUAAUCGGAAUUACUGGGCGUAAAGCGCGCGUAGGUGGUUUGUUAAGUUGGAUGUGAAACGGGCUCAACCUGGGAACUGCAUCCAAAACUGGCAAGCUAGAGUAUGGUAGAGGGUGGUGGAAUUUCCUGUGUAGCGGUGAAAUGCGUAGAUAUAGGAAGGAACACCAGUGGCGAAGGCGACCACCGA
rnacentral:rRNA from 1 species